GCCAUGUUUCUCUUGCACAAAGCUGGGAGCAACACCAGAGCCUCCUGCAAGAUGCUUGUGAUUCUGCUGUCAGUGGCCCUGCUGGCCGUGAGCUCAGCUCAGAGCUUAAAUGAAGAUGUCAGCCAGGAAGACGUUCCCUCCCUAAUAUCAGAUGAAGGGGACUCUAACCAGAGCCCAGAUGAGGAGAAUCAGAAACCA